rnacentral:rRNA from 1 species
UACGUAGGGGCGCAAGCGUUUAUCCGGAAUUAUUGGGCGUAAAGGGCGCGUAGGCGGCAAUUCAAGUCAUCUGUGAAAUCUCCGGGCUUAACCCGGAACGGUCAGGUGAUACUGUCUUGCUAGAGUGCGGAAGGGGCAAUCGGAAUUCUUGGUGUAGCGGUGAAAUGCGUAGAUAUCAAGAGGAACACCUGAGGUGAAGACGGGUUGCUGGGCCGACACUGACGCUGACAGCGCGAAAGCCAGGGGAGCAAACGGG